rnacentral:rRNA from 1 species
UACGUAGGGGGCUAGCGUUGUCCGGAAUCAUUGGGCGUAAAGCGCGUGUAGGCGGUCCGGUAAGUCCGCUGUGAAAGUCGGGGGCUCAACCCUCGGAUGCCGGUGGAUACUGUCGGGCUUGAGUACGGAAGAGGCGAGUGGAAUUCCUGGUGUAGCGGUGAAAUGCGCAGAUAUCAGGAGGAACACCAAUUGCGAAGGCAGCUCGCUGGGACGUUACUGACGCUGAGGCGCGAAAGCUAGGGGAGCGAACGGG